rnacentral:lncRNA from 1 species
GGGCUCUUAAAGCCUACCGGGAACAUGUCUUACCAAGGCCUGUGAGACGCACUUUCUUCCCAGGCCUGAUCUCGCUGAAGUAGAACUUCUGCUCUGCCGUGUCCUAUUUGACCCUAGAGCUGCAAUUCACAAAGUCCUGCCUUGUUUCCACAAGGGGAGGCAAGUCCCUCAGCGUCCGGCUUCCAGCUCUUUGGGCAGCUAAGAAACAGCUCGCUCUGCACUGGUGUUUUACAGCCUACUGGGAACAUGUCCUACAAGGGCCAUUGAAACGCAGUUUCUUGCCAGGCCUGAUCUCGGUGAAGUAGAACUUCUGCUCUGCCGUGUCCUACAUGGGCCUAGAGUUGAAAGGGACAAAGUCCUCUGUUGUGUCUUCAUGGUCAGACAGGCCCCACAGCGUCCGGCUUCCAGCUCUUUGGGCAGCUGAGAAACAGCUUGCUCUGCACUGCUGUUUUACAGCCUACCGGGAACCUGUCUUACAAAGGUCGGUGAAACGCAGUUUCUUCCCAGACCUGAUCUCGCUGAAGUAGAACUUCUGCUCUGCCGUGAUCUACAUGGGCCUAGAGCUGAAAGGGGCAAGGUUCUGCCUUUUGUCCUCAAGGGCAGACAGGUCCCACAGCGUGUGGCUUCCAGCUCUUUGGGAAGCUAAGAAACAGCUCACUCUGCACAGGGCUUUCACAAGCCUACGGGGAGCAUGUCUUACAAAGGCCUGUGAAACACAGUUUCUUCCCAGGCCUGAUCUCGCUGAAGCAGAAGUUCAGCUCUGCCGUCCUACAUGGGCCUAGAGCUCAAAGGGAGAAAGUCCAGCCUUGUGUCCUCAAGGGCAGAGAGGCCCCACAGCGUCCGGCUUCCAGCUCUUUGGCAGGCUAAGAAACAACUCGCUCUGCACAGGGCUCUUAAAGCCUACCGGGAACAUGUCUUACAAAGGCCUGUGAGACGCAGUUUCUUCCCAGGCCUGAUCUCGCUGAAGUAGAACUUCUGCUUUGCCGUGUCCUAUUUGACCCUAGAGCUGCAAUUCACAAAGUCCUGCCUUGUUUCCAAAAGGGGAGGCAAGUCCCUCAGCGUCUGGCUUGCAACUCUUUGGGCAGCUAAGAAACAACUCGCUCUGCACAGGGCU